UACGUAGGGGGCAAGCGUUGUCCGGAAUCAUUGGGCGUAAAGCGCGUGUAGGCGGCCCGGUAAGUCCGCUGUGAAAGUCGGGGGCUCAACCCUCGGAUGCCGGUGGAUACUGUCGGGCUCGAGUACGGAAGAGGCGAGUGGAAUUCCUGGUGUAGUGGUGAAAUGCGUAGAUAUGCGGAGGAACACCAGUGGCGAAGGCGGCCACCUGGACCGUCCCUGACGCUCAAACACGAAAGCUAGGGUAGCGAACGGG
rnacentral:rRNA from 1 species